AGAAUAUGCACAGUGCCUAGAUAUUGCGGUAAGAUGAACAUAAAGUUCCCAUUCUUCAUCCAGGGUCGAGACGAUCCUAGAUGUGGCUAUCCGGGUUUCGAAAUCCACUGCAGAAAUAACUCGCUGCCAUCGAUUAGCUUUGGUGAUGGUGACUACAUCAUCAAUGACAUCUAUUAUCAUAACCAAUCAUGUCACUUGUCUAGAGCUGUUAGUUUUGAUAAAUAUGCCAUUUGCAGUCAUUCGAUCCGUAAUAUAUCCCUUCUAUCCGACUGGUUUUUUCUCCCUUCGCUCCAAAAUAAAACGUUUUUGUUCUCCAAUUGCAACCUGUCGUCCUCGCAUGAACUUUCACGGUACAAUAUUCAUUGUGCUGCUAAAAAUGAAAGUAAUGCGACGUUGGCACUGUUUAGUAACGAUCCCAUGCUGAAUUUCGCUUCGGAAUAUUGUGAUACAAGGGUGGUGGUGCCUGUGGCUUUUACCAGCGGAGAGGGAAGUCUUGAAGGCAUGCUGAAUAGAGGGUUUAUGGUGGAAUGGAUAACGAGCAACUGUAGCAUUUGUGAGGCGAGUGGUGGUAAGUGUGGAUUUGAUAAUGCUACCCGCCAUUUCAAGUGCUUCUGCAGAGAUAGGCCUCACGCUUGGCACUGUACUCCCAAGAACAAGAACGAAUUGAGGUUCAAGCUGGGCCUGGGACUCGGUAAGCCUACAUCCUAUCUUUCUAUAUUCUGAAAAAUAUUGAUAAAAGGGAAUCGAAAUAUAUACCGAUGAAAAUAUUCUUUAUUUUUAUUAUAUUAAUAAAAUUUAUAUUUUAAAAUGAAAAAUUAAAAUAAAAUAAAAAUUUUAAUAAUUACAUAUUUAAAAAUAACUAAAAUUUAAUAAAAUUUAUGACAAUGAUUACACAUUUAAAAAUAUUAUAAUUUAAUUUAUAAUUAUUAGUUAAAUAAAUAUUGUGCUAAUUU
rnacentral:lncRNA from 1 species